rnacentral:lncRNA from 1 species
AUGUGUGUGUCUUUUCCCUGCAUGGGCAUUGGUGGCUCCUUGCCCAGUUGGGUACCCUGACGGGUGGGGAGACCAUUCUCUCAACAGUUUUUCUGACCUGUUUUCCCUGCAGUUGAGCUUUUGGGGGGGGGCACUAGUGGAAUUUGAGCAUUUGCAGUUAUUUCCCAUUUGUACCAAUCGGGGCAAAGUUAGGCAUUUUGCCUCUAGAAACAUGACUUUUGCAUCUGUACUGAGAAGGCUAUUUUUUGCAAAACAAGGCUUCUUGGAGGUCUUCUUUCCAGUUGUCUUCUCUCCUUCAAAGAUGACAUAUGGGCUUCCUUUUGUACUUGCUUUGAUUUUUGCAGACUCAUUCUUGUAAUUUUAAAAAAUUACAUCUCUCUGUGUGUGUGUGUGUGUCCGAGGCCAAUAAUGAGGAAUUAGCUCUCUCCCUGUACCAUGUGGGUUCAGGAGUUGAACACAGGUUGUCAAAAUUGGCACCAAGUGUUUUUAUCCACUUCACUGUCUCGAUGGACCCUCUUACAAAAUAAUUGUUACUAUUAACUGUGUAAUUUAAAGUCUUGUUUACAGGACAUUUUUUUUUCCUUCCGAAUUUAAGGCAAACUGAGGACAAGAAACAUACUAGCAGUCGGGAGGCAGAGGCUGGCGGAUCUCUGAGUUCGAGGCUACCUUGGUCUACAGAGUGAAUUCUAGGACAGCCUCGGCUACACAGAAAAACCCUGUCUCAAAGUAAUAAUAAUAAUAAUAAAAAGAAGUUAAGAAAUUUUCUUUUUUUUCCUAGUCUUUCAUUUUAUAAACAGUUCAGUUCCAAAGGGUGCGACCUGAACCAAAUUGGAGUCGCUCAAUGCACAGUUCCGACAACUUUAAUCCAACAACCGAUUCUUGCAGAAAACGAACGGGUGGAGUCCAACAAUUCUUUAUACUUCUCCAAACCGAGUAUCUAACAAAUACAGAUGGGAAGAGAGCUGGUCAUGGUGGCGCACACUGUAAUCUCGCACUUGGGAGGCCGAGGCAGGAGACUCUCCCUGAGUUUGAUGCUAGCCUGGGCUACAGAGCGAGACUCUGUCAAAACCAGGCAAACAACAACACACACACACACACAGAGCGAGACUCUGUGUUAAAACAAACCCAGGCAAACAACAACAACAACACACACACACACACACACACACACAGAGCGAGACUGUGUGUCCAACAACUAACACCCCCCCCCACACAGAGCGAGACUCUGUGUUAAAACAAACCCAGGCAAACAACAACGAAACACACACACACACACACACACACAGAGCGAGACUCUGUCAAAACAA